GACGUAGGGCGCGAGCGUUGUCCGGAUUUAUUGGGCGUAAAGAGCUCGUAGGCGGCUUGUCGCGUCGACUGUGAAAACCCGCAGCUCAACUGUGGGCUUGCAGCCGAUACGGGCAGGCUAGAGUUCGGUAGGGGAGACUGGAAUUCCUGGUGUAGCGGUGAAAUGACGCAGAUAUCAGGAGAACACCGGUGGCGAAGGCGGCUCUCGUCGGCUACUGACGCUGGAGGAGCGAAAGCGUGGGUAGCGAACAGG
rnacentral:rRNA from 1 species